CCGGGUGCGUAACGCGUAUGCAACCUGCCGUCUACUCUUGGACAGCCUUCUGAAAGGAAGAUUAAUACAAGAUGGCAUCAUGAGUCCGCAUGUUCACAUGAUUAAAGGUAUUCCGGUAGACGAUGGGGAUGCGUUCCAUUAGAUAGUAGGCGGGGUAACGGCCCACCAGCUCGAUGGAUAGGGGUUCUGAGAGGAAGGUCCCCCACAUUGGAACUGAGACACGGUCCAA
rnacentral:rRNA from 1 species